rnacentral:rRNA from 1 species
CUGGGUCGGUCGGGCUGGGGUGCGAAGCGGGCUGGGCUCGAGCCGCGGCUGGGGAGCAGUCAUCCCGUCGCCCUCCUCUCUCCGCCGCUGGAAGCGCGGUUUGUCGGCCCGUCUCGUGGGGCCUUCGUCUGCGGCGCCUCACGGCGUCGUUGGGCGGGGGUCUUUGCGGGGCGGUGUCCGUCGCCGUGUCGAAGGCGGGCCGGUGGAGGGGAUCGGGUACGGCGGUCGGUGGCGGCGACUCUGGACGCGCGCCAGGCCCUUCUCGCGGAUCUCCCCAGCUACGGCGCCCGCUGGGUCCCGUUCGCGCGGGCUCCUGGUGGGUCGCCCUCGGCUGGCGCCUAGCAGCUGACUUAG